GUUCCCUACGGGGCGCAGCAGUGGGGAAUAUUGCACAAUGGGGGAAACCCUGAUGCAGCGACGCCGCGUGAGUGAAGAAGUAUUUCGGUAUGUAAAGCUCUAUCAGCAGGGAAGAAAAUGACGGUACCUGACUAAGAAGCCCCGGCUAACUACGUGCCAGCAGCCGCGGUAAUACGUAGGGGGCAAGCGUUAUCCGGAUUUACUGGGCGUAAAGGGAGCGUAGACGGCAGAGCAAGUCUGAAGUGAAAGCCCGCGGCCCAACUGCGGGACUGCUUUGGAACCUGCACGGCU
rnacentral:rRNA from 1 species